rnacentral:rRNA from 1 species
CCUACGGGGGGCAGCAGUGAGGAAUAUUGGUCAAUGGACGAGAGUCUGAACCAGCCAAGUAGCGUGAAGGAUGACUGCCCUAUGGGUUGUAAACUUCUUUUAUAUGGGAAUAAAACGUUCCACGUGUGGGAUUUUGUAUGUACCAUAUGAAUAAGGAUCGGCUAACUCCGUGCCAGCAGCCGCGGUAAUACGGAGGAUCCGAGCGUUAUCCGGAUUUAUUGGGUUUAAAGGGAGCAUAGGUGGAUUGUUAAGUCAGUUGUGAAAGUUUGCGGCUCAACCGUAAAAUUGCAGUUGAAACUGGCAGUCUUGAGUACAGUAGAGGUGGGCGGAAUUCGUGGUGUAGCGGUGAAAUGCUUAGAUAUCACGAAGAACUCCGAUUGCGAAGGCAGUUCACUGGACUGCAACUGACACUGAGGCUCGAAAGUGUGGGUAUCAAACAGGAUUAGAUACCCCAGUAGUC